UACAGAGGGGGCAAGCGUUAUUCGGAAUUAUUGGGCGUAAGGGCGCGUAGGCGGCUUGGCAAGUGGAUGGUGAAAUCCCUCGGCUUAACCGAGGAACUGCCGUCCAAACUGCUUCGCUUGAGACCGGGAGAGGUGAGUGGAAUUCCCAGUGUAGCGGUGAAAUGCGUAGAUAUUGGGAGGAACACCAGUGGCGAAGGCGGCUCACUGGACCGGUACUGACGCUGAUGCGCGAAAGCGUGGGGAGCAAACGGG
rnacentral:rRNA from 1 species